rnacentral:rRNA from 1 species
AGUGAACGCUGGCGGUAGGCCUAACACAUGCAAGUCGAACGGCAGCACAGUAAGAGCUUGCUCUUACGGGUGGCGAGUGGCGGACGGGUGAGGAAUACAUCGGAAUCUACUUUUUCGUGGGGGAUAACGUAGGGAAACUUACGCUAAUACCGCAUACGACCUACGGGUGAAAGCAGGGGAUCUUCGGACCUUGCGCGAUUGAAUGAGCCGAUGUCGGAUUAGCUAGUUGGCGGGGUAAAGGCCCACCAAGGCGACGAUCCGUAGCUGGUCUGAGAGGAUGAUCAGCCACACUGGAACUGAGACACGGUCCAGACUCCUACGGGAGGCAGCAGUGGGGACUAUUAGGCGAUGGGCGAAAGCCUGAUACAGCAAUACCGCGUGGGUGAAGAAGGCCUUCGGGUUGUAAAGCCCUGUUGUUGGGAAAGAAAAGCAGCAGGUUAAUACCCCGCUGUUCUGACGGUACCCAAAGAAUAAGCACCGGCUAACUUCGUG